rnacentral:rRNA from 1 species
AACAAACGCUGGCGGCGUGCCUAAUACAUGCAAGUCGAACGGGGAAAGCUUUCGGGUGAGUACUAGUGGCGCACGGGUGAGUAACGCGUGGAUAAUCUGCCUUAGAGUGGGGGAUAACUAGUCGAAAGAUUAGCUAAUACCGCAUAAGACCACAAGAACAGCGGUUCAAGGGGUCAAAGGUUUUUCGCUCUAAGAUGAGUCCGCGUAAGAUUAGCUAGUUGGUGAGGUAAUGGCGCACCAAGGCGACGAUCUUUAACUGGUCUGAUAGGAUGAUCAGUCACACUGGAACUGAGACACGGUCCAGACUCCUACGGGAGGCAGCAGUAGGGAAUAUUGCACAAUGGAGGAAACUCUGAUGCAGCGACGCCGCGUGAGUGAUGAAGGCCUUCGGGUCGUAAAGCUCUGUCGCAAGGGAAUAACACAAUGAAUGUACCUUGCAAGAAAGGAUCGGCUAACUUCGUGCCAGCCGCCGCGGUAAUAC